AAUCUACCCUUGAAUUGGGGAUAACAUCGCGAAAGCGAUGCUAAUACCGAAUAAUAUCUUAAAAACCUCGGUUUUAAAGAUCAAAGGUGGCCUCUACAUGUAAGCUACUGUUUGGGGAUGAGCCCGCGUACCAUUAGCUAGUUGGUAGGGUAAUGGCCUACCAAGGCUGCGAUGGUUAGCUGGUCUGAGAGGAUGAUCAGCCACACUGGAACUGACACACGGUCCAG
rnacentral:rRNA from 1 species